UAACGCGCUUCUGUAGCUAUUUUUCUCAUUUCUGCCAGUCGUGGCUCUCACUGAGAUUCAAGGAGUUUCCUCCGAAGGUCCUCUAAAAACGGCGACUGCAAGACAUGCAGAUGACGAACGUAGCGUGAAUCAGUGCUCCUAGCAGAAUGGACGUGGACCCACCGCCGCCCCUUGGCACGGGCUCUAACCUGAAACGUUCGUCGAGUGCGCCCAUGAUCAAUGUCUUGGGAAACACGCCCACAUUCAGGGAGGCUCUCUCUCCACUGGUGCUAAGCAUCCCACGAACAAGACGCUUCAGCGCAAGCUUCAGUCCCAACCACUCCCCUUCG